GCAGCUCAGUGGUAGAGCACCUGCUUUGCAUGCAAAAGGUCCUAGGUUCAAUCCCCAAGUGCAAUA